AUUUUGUUUAAAAGGAACGAAGGCUUAGUUCUUGAGGCAUACACAGGUGCCGAUUAUGCUAGGUCGAUUGUUGACAGGAAGUUGACCUUUGGAUAUUGCACCUUUCUUGGCGGAAAUCUUGUGACGUGGAGGAGUAAGAAACAGAAUGUGGUGGCUCGGUCUAGUGCGGAGGCAGAAUUCCGGGCAAUGGCUCAGGGUGUAUGUGAACUACUUUGGUUGAAGAUUAUCUUAGAAGACAUGAAGAUUAAGUGGGAUGGUCCGAUGAGACUCUAUUGUGAUAAUAAGUUCGCAAUCAGCAUAGCUCAUAAUCUGUUACAGCAUGAUCGAACAAAGCACAUUGAAAUUGAUAGACACUUCAUCAAAGAAAAUUUGGAGAGCGGAUUGAUUUGUACACCUUAUGUGUCUACACAUGGCCAACUUGCUGAUGUACUUACCAAGGAUUUAAGUAGUUCAGUGUUUCAGAGUAUUGUAUCCAAGCUGGGAAUGGAAAAUACCUAUUCACCAGCUUGAGGGGGAGUGUGGGAAAACGUGUUUAAUGACUUGUAUUCUAUGUGUAUAGUUAGCUAUUUUAGGAAAUUUUGUAAUAGCCUGUAUUCUUAGAAUUAGGCUGAUUUGGUUAGUGUCCUAUUUUGUUAGAAUAUCCCAUAAAUCAUGGGAUCUGAAAUAACCGAGUUAGUUUUCCUUUUUUGCUGCUAGGGUUGAUGUAUAUAGCUAACGUUUUAUGUAUUAUUCAAAUUAAUGAAGAAAAUUCUUCCACGAAGUGUUUCUCAGUUUGUGUCAUAUAUAUAUAUAUAUAGGUAAUCAAUCAAAUCUCAUUAAAAAGCGUACCCCUAAGUUGUAACAUCUAGGUGUCAUAUAUGAGGAAGAUGAGUAGCCCACAUAGAGUAGGUGGUUUAUAAAGAUAAUCAUGAGUUUUAAGUAUCACAUUACAUAGUUACUAGGUUAAACUAAGCUUUAUAAGGAAUUCUAGGAAGACUCCAAAUUGAUUAAUCAUUUUGGAGUAAUAGCGCAAAUGUGGCUAGUGUUUUUUUCUAGGUCGUUAUAAUGGUAUCAGAGUCACCUAGUAACGCCAUGUCAUGUGGUACUGGAGCACUACAUGACAUGGCCCUGACGAGGACGUUAGAAGUUUAAGAAGGGGAGUUUGUAACACCUUAGUUCCAUAUUGAGAGGAUGAAGUAUAGCCCACAUAGAGUGGGUGGUCUAUAAAGAUAGUCGUGAGUGUUAAGUCUCAUAUUGCCUAGUUACUAGGUGAAAUUGAGCUUUAUAAAGAAUUCUAGGAAGACUCCAAAUUGACUAGUCAUUUUGGGGGUAAUAGUGCAGAUGUGGCUAAAGCUUUUUCCUGAGUCGUUACUUAAGUACACAUGAAAUAUACAAAAGGAACACCAAAAAAGAAAAAACAAAAAGAACAAGAAAGAAAAAACAAAAAGAACAAGCCACCCGCAGAAACCUAAAGGAACGGAACUACAACAAACCACCCACAAAAGAAACCCUAAACCCACAAAAGCAACCUGGGCUUCAUCAUCACACUAAGAGAACCUCCAGGAUAUAUGCUGGCCCCAAGCAUGAAAUAAAUUAGUUUCUCAAACUCCUGAAAUCACACGAUGUUAUAAAGUUCUCUGAAGUGCAAGUCUACUUUGGAAUGAUAUGGAGCAGGGAAGUGAUGAAUACUUCAGAUGCUAUCUCUACACUGGAUUGCUGUGGAAAUGGCUAAGGUUGCAAGUGAGGUGAAGGCAGCUGAUAUAAAGGUCCUCUUUGUGAAGCCUCUUGUGUAUUGGACUCGAU